rnacentral:lncRNA from 1 species
AGGACUACCCGGCCGCUUCCCCUGCGGCGCGUGGUACCCGAGGCGAUGCCGGAGCCGCUAACCGCCCUGCUCUCCUGCGGGUGAUGUCUGGGGCUUUCUUCUUGGGCCCGCAGGUGCUUCCGGAGUUGGGGGCAAGGUGCACCCUCCAGCAAGGCCUGGCCUUGCUAGGAGCUCUGGACCGCCGCGAAUCCCCUCACCCACUCCAGGCCUGAGCCUGGAGGGAGGCAGGAUUUCCUCUGGGCUGCCUUUGAGGCGUUUACCCGCCUGGCAGCGUUAGAUUUGCAUAACCAGAUACGAAUUCCAGUGGAGAUGCAGUGGGUGUGUCUGCAUUUCCGAUUACACCAUCAUUUUAAAAGCUGUGAUGUUCGAAGAUUUGGAGUUUUAAAAGCAGUUUUUACUGUCAUUAUUUUGCUGUGUCUUAAUUUGGAAGAUGGAACAACAGCCCAGACUGAGGACAACCACAGUGUGUGCGGUGCCCCCUGGCUCUCUUCACAAUGCCUGGUGGGAGGAAAUUGGACUCAGGGAACUGAUGCAAGGGCUGAUAUUCCGGCAACUGCUGUUGCUGUGAGUAAGGAAGUCCCUUGUUUCUGACCCUGGACGCUGAUGUCUUCUGCCACCAUCCUUGACAGUGCACACAGACCUCAGAGAAGUUGCAGGUUCAGUUCCAGGCCACUCCAAUUCAGUCCAUUCUUUCUCAAUUCUGGGAUCUGCCAACAAAUGAAGUGUCUAGGAUCUGCACACACAGUGUUGAGGUGGAGAGCCUUGGGAGGUCAGACCCCUCAGCUUGUGUCUGUGGGAGUGAGAAGAAAUGGCAUCCAGGCCACACAGGGAGGCGUGAGGUUGGAAAAGGCCUGCAGCUCAGCAACUUCCAGCUUCCAGGAACAGGAGACUCGUGAGCCUGAGCGGAUGAACUCUCCUGCUGCCACCUGGAGGGGUUUCUCAUGUUCCGGGGACAUGGUGACGUCAACCUUCACUUUUCUGAACAUCUCUGCCUGCCCCUCUGCAUUCAUCCUUCACCGUCACUUGCUUGCUGACUCUUCAUUGACGACCCCCCCCCACACUCUAGACAGAAGUAGCUAUCCUUUCCUUGUAUCCUCAGAUUACUUGCCACAUACACCCUCUGUUGUAGCAAAUAUCAAAUUACAUUUUAGUUGUCUAGGUACAGGUCAUACUUUCAGGCUGAGCUACUACUCAAAGGCAGAGGCUGCCUUUUUAAAAUUACUGUUUAUUGAGUAUUUUACAUAUGUUAUCUCAUUCAGUUCUUACAAUAAGCCUAAGAGGAAACAGAGGCUCAGAGGGGUUAAAUAUCAUGCCCCACCGUAAGGUAAAUAUCUGGCAGAAACAGGACUUGAAACUAGGUCAUGUUUUAUAUGUGCAUCUAGCACAGUGUCUUGGCAUCAGGUGUGUGUGUGGGAUGUCAAUAAAUGCUCAUCAAAUGAGUAAGUGGUUCAGUGAAUAAACUGUAUGCCACAAACCACAAGGAAGCAUUUUGGCCACCAGCUGAAAACAAGUCCUUUCAGUUACUCUCACAGCUCUGAGCCUGCUGCAGACUUUCAUUCAAACCAGACCUUAAUACCUAGGAGAAGGCUAUAUCGCAAAAUCAGAUUACUGGAAACAAUGCAUCUGACUAUCUCGCUUAAGGCCAUUUACUGAGUCCAAUAAUGUGGUUCUCAUCAUAAUCAUCAUUUAAAGCUUUAAUUUGAAGUAUUACGCUGUGUCAGAAACAGACAAACAUGAAGAAUAGAUGAAAUAAGAGAAGCCUUCCUUUCAUCAUAUGAAUUGAACUUUAUCAUGCCCUGUGUUCAGAUGAGAAGUUUUCUUUUGCUAACUAAGACCUAACUAGGGAACUCGGAACAGAACAACACACCCCUUUAUGUUAUGUUAAGUAUAACCUUCAUUGAUUACUAACUUUUGAUACCAAUAUCUUCCAGUGUCCCCAAAGUGUUGCUUGCUCUGACUUUAAAAAAUAAAGAUAUUGUCCAACGAGGCUGAUUUUAGAUUUAACAA